GACGGAGGAUGCAAGUGUUAUCCGGAAUCACUGGGCGUAAAGCGUCUGUAGGUGGUUUAAAAAGUCCACUGUUGAAAAUUGAAGCUUAACUUCAAAGAUGCCGUGGAAACUUUUAAACUUGAGUAUGAUAGGGGUAGAGGGAAUUUCCAGUGGAGCGGUGAAAUGCGUAGAUAUUGGAAAGACCACCAAUGGCGAAGGCACUCUACUGGGCCAUUACUGACACUGAGAGACGAAAGCUAGGGGAGCGAAUGGG
rnacentral:rRNA from 1 species